rnacentral:rRNA from 1 species
AUUGAACGCUGGCGGCAGGCCUAACACAUGCAAGUCGAACGGUAACAGGAAACAGCUUGCUGUUUCGCUGACGAGUGGCGGACGGGUGAGUAAUGUCUGGGAAACUGCCUGAUGGAGGGGGAUAACUACUGGAAACGGUGGCUAAUACCGCAUAACGUCGCAAGACCAAAGAGGGGGACCUUCGGGCCUCUUGCCAUCGGAUGUGCCCAGAUGGGAUUAGCUAGUAGGUGGGGUAACGGCUCACCUAGGCGACGAUCCCUAGCUGGUCUGAGAGGAUGACCAGCCACACUGGAACUGAGACACGGUCCAGACUCCUACGGGAGGCAGCAGUGGGGAAUAUUGCACAAUGGGCGCAAGCCUGAUGCAGCCAUGCCGCGUGUAUGAAGAAGGCCUUCGGGUUGUAAAGUACUUUCAGCGGGGAGGAAGGGAGUAAAGUUAAUACCUUUGCUCAUUGACGUUACCCGCAGAAGAAGCACCGGCUAACUCCGUG